UAAUACGUAGGGGGCAAGCGUUGUCCGGAUUUAUUGGGCGUAAAGAGCGUGUAGGCGGCCGCACAGGUCCGUUGUGAAAACUGGAGGCUUAACCUUCAGACGUCGAUGGAAACCGUGCGGCUAGAGUCCGGAAGAGGAGAAUGGAAUUCCUGGUGUAGCGGUGAAAUGCGCAGAUAUCAGGAAGAACACCCGUGGCUAAGGCGGUUCUCUAGUACGGUACUGACGCUGAGACGCGAAAGCGUGGGGAGCGAACAGGAUUAGAUACCCUGGUAGUCCACGCUGUAAACGUUGGGCGCUAGGUGUGGGGGGCCUCUCCGGUUCUCUGUGCCGCAGCUAACGCAUUAAGCGCCCCGCCUGGGGAGUACGGCCGCAAGGCUA
rnacentral:rRNA from 1 species